ACGCGCAUUCAGGAUUCAUUAAGUUCGGUCGGACUGCAAAAGCUUUCUGUAAGAAACAUGUAAAAGGCGUCGGACGCCGCUGGACCAUGUCCACCUUCCCAAGCCAUGACUGGUGCGCGCAAGAAUCCCUCGUCAUCUCAUGGUCAAUGUGUGUAAGGAGGCCUGUGGUGUGUGUCACUGUAAUGCUGCUGUUCACAGUGGCCCACAGUAAACGCUCCUGUGAUUAUUCAGUGAUCAUCAGCACCUACAAGGCGCUCAUCCUGGUCGAGCUCCAAGCCCUGAAUCUGACUGGUUCGUUUGACAUAUCAAAAGAAAAGGACCACUGUCCUGAGAAGGUACAGCCUGAGAAGGUACAGCCACUCGCAUAUGCUUACAUGUUCGCUGCCUCCUGCGGUAUAUCUAUGGCAGGACUCAGAUCUUCAACUGCUUGAGUAACAGUCGGAUGCAGCAGCAGUCAGACCGCAUGACUGAGGUGGUGAAACAAAUGCAGAGGCUCCUCACACAAGACUGCCUCAAACCGCAAAAAAUGAAAAAAGCAUCUUGUAAACCGGUGAAGAAGCGCAGAGGACGGCUGCGGCAGAGACUGAAGCUGAUGAGGAUGAUCAUUAACAGCUGGCAGAGGCUACUGAGCGUCACGGCUUAUUAAACUACACACUGCUCUCAGUUCAGCUCCAGCACACACUAUUUAAAACACUAUGCACCUUCACCAUUAUUUAUUCACCUUGAAAUACAAAGAGUUUUGUCAGUGAACCGAUAAGCUGAGGUUGUGUCGAAACACAUACAGUUCUCCUUCUGGUUGUAUAGCAUAUGAUUUAUGCUAGUUUUUUUUUAAAGCAAUUCAUGUUACAUAAUACACACAUAUAUAUACGAACACUCACAUCCGGUGCUGCAUAUUGAGCCUAAAAUGACUGUUGUAAAAAGCUGACUAUGUUAAUCAUGUUCUGACAGUAAUUGUACAUUCACAUCAGUACAUUCUGAUGGUAAUUAAACAGAGUAUUUUGUUUUACCGUGGACUUUUUCAAUGGAUUCAUCUUUUAAAUCAUGUUAUUUGUCUGUAUGCCUGUACGUUUGAAGUUUUAGUGUGUGAUUUGGACAGAGGAGUGGUUUGGAAACUGUCAGUCAUUUGAUCAAAUAUCAAUACUGCCAAUAUUUCAGAAACUCAUCACGGAUAUCACUCACUCUGUAAUUAUGCUGCUUUGGUGCUGCUGACUGAUGACCAGGUCUGUUCAUUCAUUUUAUAAAUCCUUGUUUUGUGUAAGUAGAUUUAAAAAAUAAAACUAAAUAAAAAUGUU
rnacentral:lncRNA from 1 species